GACAAACGCUGGCGGCAUGCCUAACACAUGCAAGUCGAACGGGACACUCGUUUUCGGAUGGGUGUUUAGUGGCGGACGGGUGAGUAACGCGUGAGCAAUCUGCCUUUCAGUGGGGGACAACAGUUGGAAACGACUGCUAAUACCGCAUGAUGUAUCGGGAUGGCAUCAUUCUGAUACCAAAGAUUUAUCGCUGAAAGAUGAGCUCGCGUCUGAUUAGCUAGUUGGUAGGGUAAAGGCCUACCAAGGCGACGAUCAGUAGCCGGACUGAGAGGUUGAACGGCCACAUUGGGACUGAGAUACGGCCCAGACUCCUACGGGAGGCAGCAGUGGGGAAUAUUGGACAAUGGGCGCAAGCUUGAUCCAGCCAUGCCGCGUGAGUGAUGAAGGCCUUAGGGUUGUAAAGCUCUUUCGCCGAGGACGAUAAUGACGGUACUCGGAUAAGAAGCCCCGGCUAACUUCGUGCCAGCCGCCGCGGUAACAC
rnacentral:rRNA from 1 species